AUUGAACGCUGGCGGCAUGCUUUACACAUGCAAGUCGAACGGCAGCGCGGGCUUCGGCCUGGCGGCGAGUGGCGAACGGGUGAGUAAUACAUCGGAACGUGCCCAGUAGUGGGGGAUAGCUCGGCGAAAGCCGGAUUAAUACCGCAUACGACCUGAUGGUGAAAGCGGGGGAUCUUCGGACCUCGCGCUUUUUGAUCUGCCGAUGGCGGAUUAGCUAGUUGGUUGGGUAAAGGCCUACCAAGGCGACGAUCUGUAGCUGGUCUGAGAGGACGACCAGCCACACUGGGACUGAGACACGGCCCAGACUCCUACGGGAGGCAGCAGUGGGGAAUUUUGGACAAUGGGCGAAAGCAUGAUCCAGCAAUGCCGCGUGUGUGAUGAAGGCCUUCGGGUUGUAAAGCACUUUUGGCGGGAACGAAAAGGACUGUGCCAAUACCACGGUUCGAUGACGGUAACCGCAGAAUAAGCACCGGCUAACUACGUG
rnacentral:rRNA from 1 species